AUAGCUACUUCCAAAGGUACAUGUCAUCGGGCGCUUCUUCAAAGUUCAUCAGCAUUUCCUCCCUCGACCACGAUCAAGGAGACUAAGCAAACCAUCAACGCAUGGCGCCUGCGUCAAGGGUGUCUCCUCCGCUGCCAGGCUCUCCUUUGGCAACGCCUCCUCCAUGUACGUCAAGUCCGCUGCAGUUCAGCCACGACAAGCUAUUGGUGGGUUCUUCAAUGGCUAUAGUUGUACAUGUUUUAGUUUAUGAAUCCUUUGAAAACUGCUACUUGCGAUGAUAGACGAAGAUGAGGAGGAGGGUGACUUGUUGCUGCUCUAUCCCACGCCAAGGAGGCAAGGACCAUGAGCGGGGAUUAAAGAAGAGGAUGUACGAAAUAAGAAAAAAUAAUAAGAAUAGCAUAUGAAAAUAGGGUGGCUUUGAUUGGGUAAAAAGUUGGUAUAUUUUUUUUUUACAAGUGAGCUAGGUUUCUGAA